rnacentral:tRNA from 1 species
GCCGGGAUGGCGGAAUUGGUAGACGCAACGGACUUAAAAUCCGUUGGCCGAAGGGCCGUGCGGGUUCGAGUCCCGCUCCCGGUA